AAGGAAUAUUGGUCAAUGGACGCAAGUCUGAACCAGCCAUGCCGCGUGAAGGAUGAAGGUCCUCUGGAUUGUAAACUUCUUUUAUCUGGGACGAAAACGGGAUUUUUAUCUCAAUUGACGGUACCAGAGGAAUAAGCACCGGCUAACUCCGUGCCAGCAGCCGCGGUAAUACGGAGGGUGCGAGCGUUAUCCGGAUUUACUGGGUUUAAAGGGUGCGUAGGUGGGCU
rnacentral:rRNA from 1 species